AUCCUGCUGACGAGCCCCAAACGGGACGAAACGCGCGUCCUGUAU
rnacentral:hammerhead_ribozyme from 1 species